rnacentral:rRNA from 1 species
AACGCGAAGAACCUUACCUGGGCUCGAACGGCUUCCCAACGGUGCCAGAAAUGGUAUUACCCCGCAAGGGGGUGGAGUCGAGGUGCUGCAUGGCUGUCGUCAGCUCGUGUCGUGAGAUGUUGGGUUAAGUCCCGCAACGAGCGCAACCCUUGUCCUGUGUUGCCAUACCGAAAGGUGGAACUCGCAGGAGACCGCCAGGGAUAACCUGGAGGAAGGUGGGGAUGACGUCAAGUCCUCAUGGCCUUUAUGUCCAGGGCUACACACGUGCUACAAUGGACGGUACAAAGCGUCGCUAACCUGCGAAGGGGAGCCAAUCGCAAAAAACCGUUCUCAGUUCGGAUUGCAGGCUGCAACUCGCCUGCAUGAAGCUGGAAUCGCUAGUAAUGGCAGAUCAGCACGCUGCCGUGAAUACGUUCCCGGGCCUUGUACACACCGGAGUA